rnacentral:rRNA from 1 species
GAUGAACGCUGGCGGCGUGCUUAACACAUGCAAGUCGAACGGAAAGGCUCCUGCUUGCGGGGGUACUCGAGUGGCGAACGGGUGAGUAACACGUGGGUGAUCUGCCCUGCACUUCGGGAUAAGCCUGGGAAACUGGGUCUAAUACCGGCUAGGACGAUGGUUGGGAUGCCAUUGUGGAAAGUUUAUUCGGUGUGGGAUGAGUUCGCGGCCUAUCGGCUUGUUGGUGGGGUAAUGGCCUACCAAGGCGUCGGCGGGUAGCCCGCCUGGGAGGGUGUACGGCCACAUGGCGACUGCGAGAGGGCGCAGACGGGUACGUGGGGCAGCAGUGGGGAAUAUUGUACAGUGGGAGCAAGUCUGUUGCAGCGGCGUCGCGGGGGGGAUGACGGCUUUCUGGGUGUAAACUCCUUUCGCCAAAGACGAAGGGAGAAUGACGGUACCUAAAGAAGAAGCACCGGCUAACUACGUG